rnacentral:rRNA from 1 species
GGAGGGUGCAAGCGUUGUUCGGAAUUAUUGGGCGUAAAGAGCGUGUAGGCGGUUCGGUAAGUCAGAUGUGAAAGCCCUGGGCUCAACCCAGGAAGUGCAUUUGAAACUACCAGACUUGAGUACGGGAGAGGAGGGGGGAAUUCCCGGUGUAGAGGUGAAAUUCGUAGAUAUCGGGAGGAAUACCAGUGGCGAAGGCGCCCCUCUGGACCGAUACUGACGCUGAGACGCGAAAGCGUGGGGGAGCAAACAGGAUUAGAUACCCUGGUAGUCCACGCCGUAAACGAUGAGCACUAGGUGUAGCGGGUAUUGACCCCUGCUGUGCCGUAGCUAACGCAUUAAGUGCUCCGCCUGGGGACUACGGUCGCAAGACUAA